rnacentral:rRNA from 1 species
UAGGGAAUAUUGGACAAUGGGUGAGAGCCUGAUCCAGCCAUGCCGCGUGCAGGAAGAAGGCGUUAUGCGUUGUAAACUGCUUUUUGCCAGGGGAUAAAAAGACCGUGCGCGGUUAAUUGAAGGUACCUGGUGAAUAAGCCACGGCUAACUACGUGCCAGCAGCCGCGGUAAUACGUAGGUGGCAAGCGUUGUCCGGAUUUACUGGGUGUAAAGGGCGUGUAGGUGGGUCUCUAAGUCGGUGGUGAAAGCCCGCAGCUCAACUGCGGAAUUGCCAUUGAUACUGGAGGUCUUGAGUACGGCAGAGGGAAAUAGAAUUCAUGGUGUAGCGGUGAAAUGUGUAGAUAUCAUGAAGAAUACCGGUAGCGAAGGCGGUUUCCUGGUCCGUAACUGACACUGAGGCGCGAAAGCGUGGGGAGCAAACAGGAUUAGAUACCCAAGUAGUCCCUGAGCGGGCUGGCAAGGCGCAU